rnacentral:lncRNA from 1 species
UGCAGUUCUACAGCGACGACCUCCAGUGUUUUGGCUCGUACGCGACGUAGGAAGGUCGGAUCAUGGUGAAACUUGAUUUUCUGGAUUCUAGACUUCCAGAGGAAUCCACGAAGCCCUGAAUUGCAGAUUUUGGUUGAGGUUAGCUUGGUCGAACUGAGAUUUUUCUGGACUGUUGUUGACAUUGAGCUGAAAAUAAGAUCUUUGAGCUUUUCUUGAUGCUAUCUUUGUAGACAGUGGGAUUUUGGACCUGAGACGCAUCACCCAUCAGUAUUUGCUGGAUUUGGGACUGUCCUCACCUGAUUUGGAGAUCGUUAGGUGAGUUUUGAUAUGGGAGUUGAGAUAAUUAAGCUUAAAUGCUGAAAUUUUUGGUGAAUUGAUGGUUUUUGUUGGAUUUUAGGUGUAGAUCCUUCGAGUAGCUUUGUUGCUGGUUGUGGGUGUUCUCGGUUGAGACUUUCAGCAAUUCGUGACCGUCUUGCUGCCAGGGAAUUGCACUAGAGGUGGGUUUAUCAUCGGUUUGGCUCCUAAGUAUAUGUAUAGUGAACAUGUAUAGUUUCGACUUCGGAAUAUCUGUUGUAGCUCGAAUUCAUCGAUGAGUAUGUUAUAUAAAUCUGAAUUUGGAGCAUGCUUAGAAAUUAGUUGAAUAUACAUGUUGGACUUGGAAUUUGACUUAAGAGAAAACCUGAGAUUUGAACCUAUCAUAUGAUUCUACUUCUGAUUUAGCUCUAGAAGCCGUGAUUUGAUCGUAUCACCGCUGUUUCAGCGCGGUGGAUAUCCGGGGUAGUUUAGAAUGCAUUUACGCUCGUGCUGGGAUGCCGAGCUUAUUUUUACAGCAGUGUCUAGGCUGUUUCGGAUUGUCGUGUGCCGUCGGGGUGGACGGUGGACCCAGAUUCCUGUUUUUGGUAUCAGAUUAUGCCGAGGGCACUUGGGUUCGAUUUCUAGACCUGUUUUGACCCUAGCUACUUGUCUUUGUCUUUUUAGAGCCUGAUUGAGCUCGACAGAGAUACGUUGCAUACUCGGUUGGGUAGCUCCCACAAGUGCCACUCCAGAGACGGGCAUUGUGCUUUCACGUUGGUGUCGUUCAUGCUGGUUAGAUUUACUCUCCACGGACUGGAUAGUGUGGAGGUAGCUGGAUAGUCUCAACUGGGUGGGACGGGUGUGUUCACAGUCCCUGGGACGGGUAUGUUUACAGUCCCUAAAGAGAUUGGGUCAUGAUUGACAUUUCUACAGUAGGUUAGUUUAAAGCAUGAUAGUGUAAUAAAUAGUAGCUGUAGAUUUCAUUCCAGCAUUUAUUACUACCUUUGCUCCCUUUUGUAGACUUAGUGGGUGGACCGAUGUUGUUGAAGGCGGCACCCACUGAGGACUACUUGUUUUACAGUAGUUCUCACGUCCUGUUGUUACUCCGUUUUUGUAGAGCCAUCGUUUUCGGCUGCUGCUGUUGUUGAUCAGGAUCGAGGCAAGGGCGUCGCGAGUUAGAGCCCUACCCGACGAGCCGAGCUAGAGGUGCCCCUACACCAGGUAGUUGUUUUUGUUGGAGCUC